rnacentral:rRNA from 1 species
GGAUUAGAUACCCUGGUAGUCCACGCCGUAAACGAUGUCUACUAGUUGUUGGGAGACUUGAUCUCUUAGUAACGAAGCUAACGCGAUAAGUAUCCCGCCUGGGGAGUACGGUCGCAAGGCUAAAACUCAAAGGAAUUGACGGGGGCCCGCACAAGCGGUGGAGUAUGUGGUUUAAUUCGAAGCAACGCGCAGAACCUUACCUGGCCUUGACAUCCCGGGACAACCUCAGAGAUGAGGCGUUCUCUUCGGAGACUCGGUGACAGAUGCUGCAUGGCUGUCGUCAGCUCGUGUCG